GCCUGGGUGGCUUAGUCGGUUAAGUGUCUGACUCUUGAUUUCAGUUCAGGUUAUGAUCUCAUGGGUCAUGGGAUCAAGCCCCACCUUGGGCU
rnacentral:tRNA from 1 species